rnacentral:rRNA from 1 species
GACGAAGGGGGCUAGCGUUGUUCGGAAUUACUGGGCGUAAAGCGCGUGUAGGCGGUUAUCCAAGUCGGGUGUGAAAGCCUUGAGCUCAACUCAAGAAAUGCACUCGGUACUGGGUGACUAGAGGACCGGAGAGGAUAGUGGAAUUCCCAGUGUAGUGGUGAAAUACGUAGAGAUUGGGAAGAACACCAGUGGCGAAGGCGGCUAUCUGGACGGUUUCUGACGCUAAGACGCGAAAGCGUGGGUAGCAAACAGG